rnacentral:rRNA from 1 species
GACGAAGGGGGCUAGCGUUGUUCGGAAUUACUGGGCGUAAAGCGCGUGUAGGCGGUUGUUCAAGUCAGGUGUGAAAGCCUUGAGCUCAACUCAAGAAAUGCACUUGAUACUGGAUAACUAGAGGACCGGAGAGGAUAGUGGAAUUCCCAGUGUAGUGGUGAAAUACGUAGAGAUUGGGAAGAACACCAGUGGGCGAAGGCGGCUAUCUGGACGGUUUCUGACG